AUCACAGGCAGAUUUUGUCAUGUCUGCUGCAAAUUCUCUCUAAAGAUGUUGAAUAUUUCAGUAUUUACCAUCUUCUUUUGCUCCUCUAGUACACACAGUCCCAGGAAGAAACUGAAACCCAGUAAGUAUACCAGGAGGAAUGUGGUGUCAUAAUCACCUAAAUGCUUUACUUGUCAUUACUUGGGUGUUUUGGCAAUGAACUGUGUUCUUUGUGCUUUUCUCCCAACAGUUAUCAAUAAUAUUUUGACAUAUAACAAUGAUUUUCCUUUUGAUGUGCAGCCAGUGCCCUUGAGGUAAAUUCUGAUCUGUGAACCAUCCCAAUGCAGGCUACUUACUGAUGUACCCAAUGUAGAGACGCACACAAAACCCGUUUUUGGUUUGAGUGCACAAUAAUCAGAACAAUUCAGAGCAAAUUAUGCAGUAGAACAAUGGCUGCCCCAGCUGAAUGCUCUAAUCUAAUGUUAUGUGUUUUGUUACUAUAUCCUAACAACAUGCUGAGCCUGUAAACAUUCAAAACAAGUUAUGGACAAUAAAGUAAUCUAACUAAUGAAAUCUUAAAUUCAGGAGAAUCCUUGCUCCAGGUGAGGAGGAGAACCUGGAGGUGGAGGAGGAGAGGAUGCUGCUACAGGAACAGGCUACCCAGUCCUUACCCAACAGAGUGCCAGCUUUGUGGCCCUGUUUUGAGGGCCUUUGUGAUUGCAGUCUCCUCUGUCGCCCUACUCUGUCCAUGCUGUGCAUGGCUUCAUCGCGCCAUUCACAGCUUUGCAAGGUACAUUGUUGCCACGGCUACACUCUCAGCCAGGAAUGUCGCUGCUCAUGAUAAAGAUUGACAUGAUUGGGCUGAAAGAUGCAGGGCAAUGCAUUGAUCCCUAUAUAACCGUUAGUGUGAAAGAUUUGAGUGGCAUUGAUUUGAACCCAGUGCAGGACACUCCUGUGGCGACCCGAAAGGAAGACACCUACAUUCACUUCAGUGCAGAUAUCAAGAUCCAGAGACAUAUCGAGAGACUAAAAAUGGGAAGCGAUUUUCUUUGAGUUCAAGCACUAUAAACCCAAGAAGAGGUUUACCAGCACAACAUGUUUUGCCUUCAUGGAAAUGGAUGAGAUCAAACCUGGUCCCAUUGUGAUCGAGCUAUACAAGAAGCCUGCUGACUUCAAGAGGAAGAAGCUUUAUCUCCACCUCCACCAGACGCUGCAUAAAGACUAAUAAUCGAGAACACUGGAUGGGGCACAUCAAGAAGUAGACGCACCAAUUUCUACGCUGAAUUCCACUGCAGUGCAGUCAUCAGACAUCCAGCAGUUUGGUGUACCUACAGCCUAUCUGCCUCCACUCACAUCAGCAAUACUAAACCCAGCAGGCCCAAGGCCACGCCCUUAACUCUGUGACAGGAUGGUCUUCUUUGGAUGAUACAUUAACUAUACAACGCCCUGUAAGACCCCCAACGCUUCCUUUCUCCUUGACGUUCAAUGGAAAAAAAGAGUGGCGAGUUAGCAAUUGGUUAUGUCAGUCAACAAGCAGAAAAACUACAACCAUGCUCGUCUUUAGUCUUCGUCUGCCUUUCCCUUUGGGGGCCAAAGAGGUGGAGUAAUAAUUUGGUGGGUGCUUAUAUUUGUCCUAUUUCACACAUGUACAAGUGUGUAUUAAAAUGCAUAUGUGAAUUGGAAAUAUGUUUUUUAAAAUAUCCCACUCUCCCUGAAACACCAUCGGAGAGUGGGGUCAUGGCCAGGGUCUGCCAUUAUCAACGGUGACCCUGGCGCAAUUAGGGUUAAGUGCCUUGCUCAAGGGCAACUGGAUCUGAACUAGCGACCUUUUGCUUACUGGCCCAACGCUCUAACCGCUAGGCUAUCUGCCGGAACAACAUGGUCAUUCAAAAAGGAUUCUGAAAUGCUAAUUAUGAUGUCACCCUGUUGUAAAGGGCUUUGAAAAGAGACACCGCAUGUAACUGAAGUUGAUUUCUAACUUUGUUUUUAAUGCUGUUCCCAUCAAGGCCACAAUGGAUAAGUGCUAUUAAAACAUUGGCUGUAACUGUAGACGAGAGCAGGGGUUCCCCAAAGGUUUUCACUCAGGCCCCCCCUUCCAGCAUUGAGGAACAUCCCUCGCACCAUGUCUAUUUCUAUGGGCACAAGACAUUG